rnacentral:rRNA from 1 species
AGCCACACUGGGACUGAGACACGGCCCAGACUCCUACGGGAGGCAGCAGUGGGGAAUUUUGGACAAUGGGCGAAAGCCUGAUCCAGCAAUGCCGCGUGCAGGAUGAAGGCCUUCGGGUUGUAAACUGCUUUUGUACGGAACGAAAAAGCUUCUCCUAAUACAGGGCCCAUGACGGUACCGUAAGAAUAAGCACCGGCUAACUACGUGCCAGCAGCCGCGGUAAUACGUAGGGUGCAAGCGUUAAUCGGAAUUACUGGGCGUAAAGCGUGCGCAGGCGGUUAUGUAA